CCUACGGGUGGCUGCAGUCGAGAAUCAUUCACAAUGGGGGAAACCCUGAUGGUGCGACGCCGCGUGGGGGAAUGAAGGUCUUCGGAUUGUAAACCCCUUUCAUGUGGGAGCAAAUUAAAAAGAUAGUACCACAAGAGGAAGAGACGGCUAACUCUGUGCCAGCAGCCGCGGUAAUACAGAGGUCUCACGCGUUGUUCGGAAUCACUGGGCGUAAGGCGUUCGUAGUCUUUUUGGUAAGUCGUGUGUGAAAGGCGCGGGCUCAACCCGCGGACGGCACAUGAUACUGCGAGACUAGAGUAAUGGAGGGGGAACCGGAAUUCUCGGGGUAGCAGUGAAAUGCGUAGAUAUCGAGAGGAACACUCGUGGCGAAGGCGGGUUCCUGGACAUUAACUGACGCUGAGGCACGAAGGCCAGGGGAGCGAAAGGGAUUAGAUACCCCAGUAGUC
rnacentral:rRNA from 1 species